rnacentral:rRNA from 1 species
GACGAACGCUGGCGUCGUGCUUAACACAUGCAAGUCGAACGGAAAGGCCCUGCUUUUGUGGGGUGCUCGAGUGGCGAACGGGUGAGUAACACGUGAGUAACCUGCCCUUGACUUUGUGAUAACUUCAGGAAACUGGGGCUAAUACCGGAUAGGAGCUCCUGCUGCAUGUUGGGGGUUGGAAAGUUUCGGCGGUUGGGGAUGGACUCGCGGCUUAUCAGCUUGUUGGUGGGGUAGUGGCUUACCAAGGCUUUGACGGGUAGCCGGCCUGAGAGGGUGACCGGCCACAUUGGGACUGAGAUACGGCACAGACUCCUACGGGAGGCAGCAGUGGGGAAUAUUGCACAAUGGGCGGAAGCCUGAUGCAGCAACGCCGCGUGCGGGAUGACGGCCUUCGGGUUGUAAACCGCUUUCGCCUGUGACGAAGCGUGAGUGACGGUAAUGGGUAAAGAAGCACCGGCUAACUACGUG